GCUGUAAAGCUUCCCCAUUAUACAGUGUGGUAUAAUCUGAUUUUGCAUUCUAGAUCAUGGGCCUCUCGCCACGGAGAUGUUGGCCUCAGAAGCAAUGGGGAGAAGGUGAGGUGACCCAU
rnacentral:lncRNA from 1 species